AGAGCGAACGCUGGCGGCAGGCCUAACACAUGCAAGUCGAACGGACCCUUCGGGGUUAGUGGCGGACGGGUGAGUAACACGUGGGAACGUGCCUUUUGGUUCGGAAUAGCUCCUGGAAACGGGUGGUAAUGCCGAAUGUGCCCUUCGGGGGAAAGAUUUAUCGCCAUUAGAGCGGCCCGCGUCUGAUUAGCUAGUUGGUGAGGUAAUGGCUCACCAAGGCGACGAUCAGUAGCUGGUCUGAGAGGAUGACCAGCCACAUUGGGACUGAGACACGGCCCAAACUCCUACGGGAGGCAGCAGUGGGAAUAUUGGACAAUGGGCGAAAGCCUAGAUCCAGCCAAU
rnacentral:rRNA from 1 species